rnacentral:rRNA from 1 species
AUGAUCCGCAUCCUCGCUAUGGGGGACACCGCGACGUUCGAGGCCAUGUACCUGGGCACCUGCAAAACCCUGACGCCGCUGAUGAGCAGCAAAUUCCCCGAGCUUGGCAUGAACUCCUCGCACUGCAACGAGAUGCCCUGGAUCAAGACCAUCCCCUUCAUCCACCUUGGCAAGCAGGCCACCCUGGUCGACCUCCUCAACCGGAACAACAGCUUCAAACCCUUCGCCGAAUACAAGUCGGACUACGUCUACCAGCCCGUCCCCAAGCCUGUGUGGGCGCAGAUCUUAUACGGCUGGCUCGUGAAGCCCGGAGCGGGGAUGAUGGUCAUGGACCCCUAUGGCGCCACCAUCAGCGCCACCCCCGAAGCGGCGACGCCGUUCCCUCACCGCAAGGGCGUCCUCUUCAACAUCCAGUACGUUAGCUACUGGUUCGCCGAAGCAGGCGGCGCCGCGGCGCUGCAGUGGAGCAAGGACAUGUACAAGUUCAUGGAACCUUACGUGAGCAAGAACCCCAGGCAGGCAUACGCCAACUACAGGGACAUCGACCUCGGCAGGAACGAGGUGGUGAACGACAUCUCAACCUACAACAGCGGCAAAAUCUGGGGCGAGAAGUACUUCAAGGGCAACUUCCAAAGACUCGCCAUUACCAAGGGCAAGGUUGAUCCUCAGGACUACUUCAGGAACGAGCAGAGCAUCCCGCCGCUGGUGGGGAAGUACUGA